UACGUAGGUGACCAGCGUUGUCCGGAUUUACUGGGCGUAAAGAGCGCGCAGGCGGUCGUUCAAGUCGCGUGUGAGAGCCCCCGGCUCAACUGGGGAGGGUCAUUCGAUACUGAUCGACUUGAAGGCAGGAGAGGGAAGUGGAAUUCCCGGUGUAGUGGUGAAAUGCGUAGAUAUCGGGAGGAACACCAGUGGCGAAGGCGACUUCCUGGCCUGUUCUUGACGCUGAGGCGCGAAAGCUAGGGGAGCAAACGGG
rnacentral:rRNA from 1 species